GUGCUCGCUGUAGCAGCACAUAUACUAAAACUGGAAUGAUCCAGAGAAGAUUAGCAUGGCCCUUGGGCAAGGAUGACAUGCAAAUUUGUGAAGCCAUCCAUAUUUUU